rnacentral:rRNA from 1 species
GUGCCAGCCGCCGCGGUAAUACGGGGGGGACUAGUGUUAUUCGGAAUGACUGGGCGUAAAGGGUGUGUAGGCGGUCUUGUAAGUUGAAAGUGAAAUCUCAAAGCUUAACUUUGAAAGUGCUUUCAAAACUGCUCGACUAGAGUGUGAGAGAGGAUAGUGGAAUUUCUAGUGUAGAAAUAAAAUCCAUAGAGAUUAGAAGGAACACCGAAAGCGAAGGCAACUAUCUGGCUCAAAACUGACGCUGAUACACGAAAGCAUGGGGAGCAAACAGGAUUAGAUACCCUGGUAGUCC